rnacentral:rRNA from 2 species
ACACAUGCAAGUCGAACGGCAGCACAGAGGAGCUUGCUCUUAUGGGUGGCGAGUGGCGGACGGGUGAGGAAUACAUCGGAAUCUACCUUGUCGUGGGGGAUAACGUAGGGAAACUUACGCUAAUACCGCAUACGACCUACGGGUGAAAGCAGGGGAUCUUCGGGCCUUGCGCGAUUGAAUGAGCCGAUGUCGGAUUAGCUAGUUGGCGGGGUAAAGGCCCACCAAGGCGACGAUCCGUAGCUGGUCUGAGAGGAUGAUCAGCCACACUGGAACUGAGACACGGUCCAGACUCCUACGGGAGGCAGCAGUGGGGAAUAUUGGACAAUGGGCGCAAGCCUGAUCCAGCCAUGCCGCGUGGGUGAAGAAGGCCUUCGGGUUGUAAAGCCCUUUUGUUGGGAAAGAAAUCCAGCUGGCUAAUACCCGGUUGGGAUGACGGUACCCAAAGAAUAAGGACGGUACCCAAAGAAUACUCACCGGCUAACUUCGUGCCAGCAGCCGCGGUAAUACGAAGGGUGCAAGCGUUACUCGGAAUUACUGGGCGUAAAGCGUGCGUAGGUGGUCGUUUAAGUCCGUUGUGAAAGCCCUGGGCUCAACCUGGGAACUGCAGUGGAUACUGGGCGACUAGAAUGUGGUAGAGGGUAGCGGAAUUCCUGGUGUAGCAGUGAAAUGCGUAGAGAUCAGGAGGAACAUCCAUGGCGAAGGCAGCUACCUGGACCAACAUUGACACUGAGGCACGAAAGCGUGGGGAGCAAACAGGAUUAGAUACACUGGUAGUCCACGCCCUAAACGAUGCGAACUGGAUGUUGGGUGCAAUUUGGCACGCAGUAUCGAAGCUAACGCGUUAAGUUCGCCGCCUGGGGAGUACGGUCGCAAGACUGAAACUCAAAGGAAUUGACGGGGGCCCGCACAAGCGGUGGAGUAUGUGGUUUAAUUCGAUGCAACGCGAAGAACCUUACCUGGUCUUGACAUGUCGAGAACUUUCCAGAGAUGG